CCGGCAAAUCAGUGCCAUAGUAAUCUUAUAAUUUUAGUAAAUUGGCUGACCAGUCAAGGGUCAGAUACAUUUGUUUAUUUAAGGUAGAGCUUCGUUUAGUUAAACAACAUGUAUAGCAACAAGUUGCUAGGUAGUGUAGAAACAAAUGUUUCAGAGACAGGGUUGCUGUGUGAUAGCAACAUAAAGAAACUGAGCGUCAGAGUGUAGGGUAGGAGGGCAUGUGAGGAAUAUACAUGGGUCUCGCUCUAACCAAUGACUUUAAGCAUAACUGGCAAAGCUAAGUUAGUAUUAGUGCAGUGUGCAAUGCAAGAAAAACAAUAAUUGAGUAGCACAUGUUGUUUACAAUUUUAGCAAUAAGUUUUCUCGUUGCAAAUCCAUUCCCAAUCAAGAAAUCAGCGCCUGCAUAGGAUGUAGUAUCAGGGCAAACAUCAGCCUUUAUUAAUCCAAGAUCUAUACACCAAAGAAUCCAAUAUGUGUACAGGUGUUGGCCGUCAAGCAGAGUUUAAGUUGGAUUAAACACAGAUCAACCUCACACCAGUGGUCACAGGAAUUGAGAUUAGAAAGUUACAGUAGGUGGGCAGAUUUAUUUGGAGCAGAUUCAUUGUAGCUUUAUUCCUGUUUGAGAGUCCAGCACAGGC